UACGGGGGGGGCAAGCGUUGUUCGGAAUUACUGGGCGUAAAGGGCUCGUAGGCGGCCAACUAAGUCAGACGUGAAAUCCCCAGGCUUAACCUGGGAACUGCGUCUGAUACUGGAUGGCUUGAGAUUGGGAGAGGGAUGCGGAAUUCCAGGUGUAGCGAUGAAAUGCGUAGAUAUCUGGAGGAACACCGGUGGCGAAGGCGGACAUCCUGGACCAACACUGACGCUGAGGAGCGAAAGCCAGGGGAGCAAACGGGG
rnacentral:rRNA from 1 species